rnacentral:rRNA from 1 species
UACGUAGGGGGCUAGCGUUGUCCGGAAUCAUUGGGCGUAAAGAGCGUGUAGGCGGUCCGGUAAGUCCGCUGUGAAAUCUCGAGGCUCAACUUCGAGCUGUCGGUGGAAACUGUCUGGCUAGAGUCCGGAAGAGGAGAAUGGAAUUCCUGGUGUAGCGGUGAAAUGCGCAGAUAUCAGGAGGAACACCGGUGGCGAAGGCGGAUCUCUGGGCCAUUACUGACGCUGAGGAGCGAAAGCGUGGGGAGCGAACAGG